CCCCUUCCCGGCACCCCCCCCAGCAUCUGGCAGCACGGCACCAGCCUCAUGAACUACCUGCGCAUGGUAGAGUAUGAUGGACUGACAGGGCGUGUGGAGUUCAACAGCAAGGGCCAGCGCACGAACUACACCCUGCACGUGCUGGAGAAGGGGCGCCAUGGGCACCGCGAGGCGGGCGUGUGG